UACAGAGGUCUCAAGCGUUGUUCGGAUUCAUUGAGCGUAAAGGGUGCGUAGGUGGCGCCGUAAGUCAGGUGUGAAAUUUCGGAGCUUAACUCCGAAACUGCAUUUGAUACUGCGGUGCUUGAGGACUGGAGAGGAGACUGGAAUUCACGGUGUAGCAGUGAAAUGCGUAGAUAUCGUGAGGAAGACCAGUGGCGAAGGCGGGUCUCUGGACAGUUCCUGACACUGAGGCACGAAGGCCAGGGGAGCAAACGGG
rnacentral:rRNA from 1 species